AUCUAAUUUUUAGGUGUACUCAAAUUAUAAUGUAGUCAGAAAAGCGAGUGAUCAAAUUUUAAAAUGUCGUAUGUCGCAAAGAUUUUAAUGCAAAACACACUAAUAUAUUUUUAAAUACUAUGUUAAGUUUGUCAUUUUAAAAUAUAUUCUGAGAAAUUUUAAAAUUUUCAAGUUUAGAAUAGCGAAGAGCAACAAGAAUGCGAUAUUUUUCGAUCGGUGUUAAACAGAAUAAAUUUUUAAACAAAAAAUAAUUUUGUGGUGUAGACAACGAUGUAUGUAUAUGGGUGUAAACGACGAAAAUACAGACGAUGAAGUAAAAGUACUUUCACCACCAGGUUCUAAAUCAGUAUCCUCUGCCAUCUUGAAUGUUAUAUUAUUCGCGCAAUAACUGGAUAUAUAGUACGGGAGGCAUAUUAGUAAAUGUUAAUUGGUAUACCAUGUUAAUUAUCGUUUAUAAAAAGUAAAAUAUGAAUGUAGUAUCUUCAUUUUUUAAUACAUUUCAAAAAUGUCAAACCAUAUUUUUAUUGCAUUUUCAAGAUACCAAGCCAAGAUACAUAUUAGAAAAUUAAAGUUUCGCUCUCUAAUGAAUGAUGAUUAAAAGUGCAAAUCGGCAAUUAUUUUGUUCUAAAGAUUCAUUCAGAAAACUGUUCUCAAGACAAACAUUUCAAAAUGGCGACGUGCACCGGUUUAGGUACGAUGUGCAGGGGAAUACUUUAAUUUCAUCGUUAAUUUUCUCGUCGCCUGCACCGGAUACAGAUAUGGUUCUUUUGAAAAGUUUAUCUAUCCAUCUUAUCUUUUGCAUGGUGCUAUUCUUAUUGUCAGUAUUCUGGACUCUUAUUCCAAUUAAAAUACAUAAUUACUUUUCUUAAAAUUAUAUAUAUCACUCAUACAACGAAAUUACAAAAACAUAAGCAAGAUGUACUAUAAGUAGUAAAAUAUAAAAUCUAAUUCAAAGACCAAAUGGUAUGGAAGGCUAGAUACAACCAUGUCUCAAAAGCUAUACUUAUGAUAUUUUUUUCUCUUAAUUUUAUCAAUAUAUUUGACUACAUGUUGUUAAAAAUUUUGCAAGAGUUGAUAACCUAAUCAUUCACUUAUUUUUAUUACUAAUUAAUAUCUAUUGAAAGAAUGGCACAAUGAUAGCUUACCUGGUUUAGAGCGCCGCGUCGCAUCGCAUGCUGCUACCGACGAUUGUAG
rnacentral:lncRNA from 1 species